UGGUUCUGGCAUCGAUGAAGAACGCAGCGAAAUGCGAUAAGUAAUGUGAAUUGCAGAAUUCAGUGAAUCAUCGAAUCUUUGAACGCACAUUGCGCCCGCCAGUAUUCUGGCGGGCAUGCCUGUUCGAGCGUCAUUUCAACCCCUCGGGCCCUCGCGCCCGGCGUCGGGGCGUUCCCUCGCGGGAAGCCCCCAGAGACAGUGGCGGACCCGCCGCGGCUCCGAGCGCAGUAGUAAACACCACGCUUAGGACGACCGCGGGGGGCCCCGGCCGUAAAACGUAGCCUCGCGGCUGAACAUCAAGGUUGACCUCGGAUCAGGUAGGAAUACCCGCUGA
rnacentral:misc_RNA from 1 species